ensembl:lincRNA
GGGGCAUCCCACGGCAGAGGCCAGGGCUCAGGCCCAGCCUCAUGGGGAGACUGGGCUAGGAUCCAACUUGGAGGGGCCCAGGGAAGCCCCAAGUCCUCAGGAAGCCCCUUCUUCCAGAAGCCACCUCACUGCUGAGAUGAGUCCCCCAUGAGGAGCUGCAGGACCUUGUCUGACCGCAGCCUCAUGGAGGGGUCUCAUCCCAUGGAAAGGGGUCCUCAGCACUCCAGAGGACUGAAACCCCAAUGGGUCCUGCUCAGGCCACCAGCCCCAGCCUGGAAAGGCCAGGUCCUCCCACACCUGCUGUCCCCAAAGAAAUCCUUUGGGCUCACCCUGCGACUGUGGGAUGUGCUUAUCUUGGAGGGCGAGCAGGUACUGACAGCCAUGGCGCAUGCAUCAUUCAAAAUACACAGGGAGUGCCUCAUGAAGCUUUCCUGGAGCACCGUCUGGGAGUUUCAGGAGCGACUCUCUCAGAGCUGGGCCCUGGAGGACAACACGGUCCUCAGGAACCUUCAAACCUCUAUGAAGGAACUCACAAAAAAACACUGGGACCUGCCAUCCCCAGAGAGCUUGCUACAAAAUGCACAUUGCUGUACCAUAGCCUGGGGCUUGCAAUCCAAGGCUGGCAAGAAUUCCUGCACGUCAAGGGCCUCAGGUGACUUUCGUGCACAUCCAAGGACAGAGUCCUUGAUGACACCUUCCUGCUCAAAAAAGAAGGAACAAGGGUCAACAAACAGCGAGCCAGUCAUGGAAAGGGAUGAAAUGUGAGUGCGUGGCCUUCCUGACACCCAGACAAGACUUUGGGCACAAAGCCAGGCUGCAGCUGUGGCCACUGACUCGGACCAGGGACGCCCCCAUGCAGGCCAGUGUCCCCUGGCUGCCCUUCUUCCUCCUGCCACCCU